rnacentral:rRNA from 1 species
GACGAACGCUGGCGGCGUGCUUAACACAUGCAAGUCGAACGGAAAGGCCCUGCUUGCAGGGUGCUCGAGUGGCGAACGGGUGAGUAACACGUGGGUGAUCUGCCCCUUACUUUGGGAUAAGCCUGGGAAACUGGGUCUAAUACUGGAUAGGACCAUGCUGUAGGUGGUGUGGUGGAAAGAUUAGUUUCGGUAAGGGAUGAGCUCGCGGCCUAUCAGCUUGUUGGUGGGGUAAUGGCCUACCAAGGCGUCGACGGGUAGCCGGCCUGAGAGGGUGGACGGCCACAUUGGAACUGAGAUACGGCCCAGACUCCGACGGGAGGCAGCAGUGGGGAAUAUUGCACAAUGGGCGCAAGCCUGAUGCAGCGACGCCGCGUGGGGGAUGACGGCCUUAGGGUUGUAAGCUCCUUUCAGCCAUGACGAAGCCUUCGGGUGACGGUAGUGGUAGAAGAAGCACCGGCUAACUACGUG